AAGGUUUCCGGUAGCGGACCUAUGAUGUGGAAACGGAAGUCCCUGGUCUAUUCUAGGUGAUUGGAAGACAAAGCUCAGAUUAAUUUAUUGGCCUGCCAAGUGACCGGAACAUCUUUUCUCCACUGAUUGCAUAAUUGAAACCGUCAUCGUCUUUAAAAUACCAGGACUGAACCUUAGCCGAGGCACUGAAGUCUAAGGAAGAAAGGGACUCCUUCAUUCACAGCGGAUGAGAGCAAAUCGUGGUACAGGUGGAGCUGUUUUUGAACUACUAGCAUUGACCUUGCCAUACGUGAAUCUCUUGUGAAUCUGAGUUAUUGACCUUUCCUAAGAAGCUACAUGAUUUCCAUUGAUGCUCAAGGAAGACGUGCAUCUCUACUCUGAGAGCUUGCUGAGGUCUUUUCAGGGCUGCUCAUCCACCUUUGGUGUCCACCAGAAAGAAGGCAACGAUUGGUAAGAAAUUUAGUAUGUCUAACACAGUGAGAUGUAAUAUCCCUCCCACAGAUUUUGGCACAGGCAGUUGCUGGAGAUAGGAUGGUACCACUUCUUGUAUGACUAGAGCCAGCCGUAGUUUCAAAGCCCACGGUUCCUUUUCUCUGUUUGCUUAUUCUUGACUGCUCUAUAGAAGAUUCUAAGUUA